UACAGAGGGUGCGAGCGUUGUUCGGAAUUAUUGGGCGUAAAGGGCGCGUAGGCGGUGCCACAAGUCACUUGUGAAAUCCCCGGGCUUAACUCGGGGCCUGCAGGCGAAACUGUGGUGCUGGAGUAUGGGAGAGGUGCGUGGAAUUCCCGGUGUAGCGGUGAAAUGCGUAGAUAUGCGGAGGAACACCGAUGGCGAAGGCAAUCCCCUGGACCUGUACUGACGCUCAUGCACGAAAGCGUGGG
rnacentral:rRNA from 1 species